GACGAACGCUGGCGGCGUGCCUAAUACAUGCAAGUAGAACGCUGAAGGAGGAGCUUGCUUCUCUGGAUGAGUUGCGAACGGGUGAGUAACGCGUAGGUAACCUGCCUGGUAGCGGGGGAUAACUAUUGGAAACGAUAGCUAAUACCGCAUAAUAGUAGAUGUUGCAUGACAUUUGCUUAAAAGGUGCAAUUGCAUCACUACCAGAUGGACCUGCGUUGUAUUAGCUAGUUGGUGAGGUAACGGCUCACCAAGGCAACGAUACAUAGCCGACCUGAGAGGGUGAUCGGCCACACUGGGACUGAGACACGGCCCAGACUCCUACGGGAGGCAGCAGUAGGGAAUCUUCGGCAAUGGACGGAAGUCUGACCGAGCAACGCCGCGUGAGUGAAGAAGGUUUUCGGAUCGUAAAGCUCUGUUGUAAGAGAAGAACGAGUGUGAGAGUGGAAAGUUCACACUGUGACGGUAGCUGACCAGAAAGGGACGGCUAACUACGUG
rnacentral:rRNA from 1 species